ACGGGAGGCAGCAGUGAGGAAUAUUGGUCAAUGGGCGGAAGCCUGAACCAGCCAAGUCGCGUGAAGGAUGAAGGUUCUAUGGAUUGUAAACUUCUUUUGCUCGAGGGUAAAGUGAUCUACGUGUAGGUUAUUGCAAGUAUCGAGUGAGUAAGCAUCGGCUAACUCCGUGCCAGCAGCCGCGGUAAUACGGAGGAUGCGAGCGUUAUCCGGAUUUAUUGGGUUUAAAGGGUGCGUAGGCGGUUUGUUAAGUCAGCGGUGAAAGUUUGUGGCUCAACCAUAAAAUUGCCGCUGAAACUGGCGAACUUGAGUGUAAACGAGGUAGGCGGAAUGUAACGUGUAGCGGUGAAAUGCUUAGAUAUGUUACAGAACCCCGAUUGCGAAGGCAGCUUACCAGCAUACAACUGACGCUGAGGCACGAAAGCGUGGGUAUCAAACAGGAUUAGAUACCCUGGUA
rnacentral:rRNA from 1 species